rnacentral:rRNA from 1 species
AGGAAAGCAGGGGAUCGCAAGACCUUGCGCUUUUGGAGCGGCCGAUGUCUGAUUAGCUAGUUGGUGAGGUAAAGGCUUACCAAGGCUUCGAUCAGUAGCUGGUCUGAGAGGACGACCAGCCACACUGGGACUGAGACACGGCCCAGACUCCUACGGGAGGCAGCAGUGGGGAAUUUUGGACAAUGGGGGCAACCCUGAUUCAGCCAUGCCGCGUGAGUGAAGAAGGCCUUCGGGUUGUAAAGCUCUUUCAGCCGGAACGAAACGGUCACGGUUAAUAACUGUGAUCACUGACGGUACCGGAAGAAGAGGCACCGGCUAACUACGUGCCAGCAGCCGCGGUAAUACGUAGGGUGCGAGCGUUAAUCGGAAUUACUGGGCGUAAAGCGUGCGCAGGCGGUUUUGUAAGUCAGAUGUGAAAUCCCCGGGCUUAACCUGGGAACUGCGUUUGAAACUACAAGGCU